UGAACGACUCUCGGCWACGGAUAUCUCGGCUCUCGCAUCGCAUGAAGAACGUAGCGAAAUGCGAUACUUGGUGUGAAUCGCAGAAUCCCGUGAACCAUCGAGUUUUUGAACGCAAGUCGCGCCCGAAGCCAUUAGGCCGAGGGCACGUCUGCCUGGGCGU
rnacentral:rRNA from 1 species